CAGCAUUACAGCUUUUUUUGAGUUUGUCUAGCAACUUCUCUGGUUUUCACUGGAGAGACUCCA
ensembl:snRNA U7 U7 small nuclear RNA